AAUCCAUAGGUUAAUGAGGCGAACCGGGGGAACUGAAACAUCUAAGUACCCCGAGGAAAAGAAAUCAACCGAGAUUCCCCCAGUAGCGGCGAGCGAACGGGGAGGAGCCCAGAGCCUGAAUCAGCAUGUGUGUUAGUGGAAGCGUCUGGAAAGGCGCGCGAUACAGGGUGACAGCCCCGUACACAAAAGCGCAUGUGUUGUGAGCUCGAUGAGUAGGGCGGGACACGUGGUAUCCUGUCUGAAUAUGGGGGGACCAUCCUCCAAGGCUAAAUACUCCUGACUGACCGAUAGUGAACCAGUACCGUGAGGGAAAGGCGAAAAGAACCCCGGCGAGGGGAGUGAAAAAGAACCUGAAACCGUGUACGUACAAGCAGUGGGAGCACAGGUUUACCUGUGUGACUGCGUACCUUUUGUAUAAUGGGUCAGCGACUUAUAUUCUGUAGCAAGGUUAACCGUAUAGGGGAGCCGGAGGGAAACCGAGUCUUAAUUGGGCGUUAAGUU
rnacentral:rRNA from 1 species